CAAAGCGGCCAAAUUUGGUUGGUGCAACAAAAGCAAUCAGCUGUAACACAUAUAGCCUACAGCAAGCGCCUACCCGCAGUGUUGUUGUUGUUGCUUGUUGAUUGCAUACUUGUAUUUUUGGUUUAAGAUCAACGUUGCAAUUCAAUUCUGCGUUCAAUUACGUUCUAAACUUUGGCGAGUCAACAACAAGUUGAGCGGUUAAACAGUGUAAAACGUAUCGUUGCGCUUAUUAAAGGAAAUUUUUGUCAAAAUUUGCAUUGAGCAAUACAACAACAAAAACAAAAUUAGUAAUUUUAACAAUUUUUUUUUAUUAAAAAAAUAUAAAGUGUUCAAUUAUGGUUUUGCUGCGUGUCAUCAAAUAUCUUGUGGGUUGUGUGGUGCGUCUGUGUGAGGGGCUCAACCAGAGCGUUUUGUCUUGGAAAAUGCUCAAAUAUCGCAUGUUGCAACAAAGUUGACUAAGAGGCGUACGUGGGUGGAGUCGGCGUGCUCUACUUUGUGUUACCUUCGUUGGCGAUGAUGAGCUGUUGAAUAUCUUCGAAAAUUUAUAGUUGCACUGAAGUUAUUUGAAGUUCGUUACUUAAGUCUUUUGUAUUGUGUAGUUCAAUGUGGAAGCUUGUUGGAAAUAAAAUAAAUUUUUUAAUGCUUUUUUGCUCUAUAAAAACAGUGUUAGUGUACAUAGUUGUAAUGUUAAAACAAAUAUAUUUUCUAAAUAAAUUUCAAUGAUUUUGUGUUUA